UCGAGCUAAAGAAGACUUUGG
rnacentral:miRNA from 1 species